rnacentral:rRNA from 1 species
UACGUAGGGGGCUAGCGUUGUCCGGAUUUAUUGGGCGUAAAGAGCGUGUAGGCGGCCAGAUAGGUCUGCUGUGAAAACUCGAGGCUCAACCUCGAGAUGUCGGCGGAAACCAUUUGGCUAGAGUCCGGAAGAGGAAAGUGGAAUUCCUGGUGUAGCGGUGAAAUGCGCAGAUAUCAGGAAGAACACCCGUGGCGAAGGCGGGUCUCUGGGCAGUAACUGACGCUGAGGAGCGAAAGCCAGGGGAGCAAACGGG